AUUGAACGCUGGCGGCAGGCUUAACACAUGCAAGUCGAGCGAGCGGCGGACGGGUGAGUAAUGUCUGGGAAACUGCCUGAUGGAGGGGGAUAACUACUGGAAACGGUAGCUAAUACCGCAUACCCUCCGAUGUGCCCAGAUGGGAUUAGCUAGUAGGGGGGGUAAUGGCUCACCUAGUCGACGAUCCCUAGCUGGUCGUAGAGGAGUACCAGCCACACGGGAACUGUGACACGGUUCAGCAUCCUACGGGAGGCAGCAGUGGGGAAGAGUGCACAAUGGGCGCAAGCCUGAUGAAGCCAUGCCGCGGGUGUGAAGAAGGCCUUCGGGUUGUAAAGCACUUUCAGCGAGGAGGCGUUACUCGCAGAAGAAGCACCGGCGAACUCCGGGCCAGCAGCCGCGGUAAUUC
rnacentral:rRNA from 1 species